rnacentral:rRNA from 1 species
AGCGUCAUCCUACGGGGGCAGCAGUAGGGAAUUUUCGUCAAUGGGCGCAAGCCUGAACGAGCGAUGCCGCGUGAGUGAAGAAGGCCUUCGGGUCGUAAAGCUCUGUUGCGGGGGAAAAAGGCAGCAUCAGGAAAUGGGUGCUGACUGAUGGUGCCCCGCCAGAAAGUCACGGCUAACUACGUGCC